UCUAACUUCAGGGGCAAAAAGCCCUCUUAUUGAAGUCUGCACCAGAUGGAAAUGCAAUAUCCAGCCCAUUGCAAGAACCAAGGACAAAAUUAGAAGAAAGAAGUGUGUCUCUUUCCAAACUCAAAGCCAAAGGAAGAAAGUAGACCAGGAAGGACUGAAAUAUAAUCUGUAAUUUACACAGCUGCAGAGCCACAAAGGCAGGGGAUAUUCAAAUAGAUGGAUUGCAGAACCUAUGACAAGAAGAAAGCAUCCAGGCAGAUCUGUGUGUACCUAACGCCGAAAAGUAACUUCACUUCUCACUGAUACUUGCUGUUAUAGUUCUUGUAUAUGAUGUACUACAUUAUGCUAAUAUUUUAGGAAUGGUAAGCCAGCUGUCUGAUACAAUGGCCAAGGUGUUUUUUCUCUAGGAUGGAAAUUCAUAACUUAUGAUCUUCUAGGCAAUAUUUGUAUUCUGCUUUCACUUCAUUUUUAGGGUGGAGUGCCAAAAAAUGAAGAUUUUUGGCUCUAGAGAAAAGAAUGCUCUUAAUUUAUUAGUUCACUUUGGGGGGACAUAGCAAAGCUUUUGGUCAAUGUUUGUUUUUAUAAUCCCAUAAAUCCUAUGCUUUAGCACAACAACGUAUCAGAGAUGAAAACAGUAGAAAACCACUUCUUUCCUGACUUGGCUGUGGAAAGAGUGAGGGCAUGUUGUUUUGGCUGGUCACAUAUUUCUGAAGAAUUUGAUUUGUAUUGAUAGGUUUGUCUCCUUAUGGUGUUACGUGGGAAUUUUGAAUUGCUCUGCAGCAGUUAUCAGAACUGCAGUAUCCUUGAUGAUUCUCACCUUCACUGACCUAGCAUAAACAAGCUGUCUUUUGUGUGCCGGACUGUUGGAUGCAUUAGAAUAUAUAUAAUAAUAUCUUGAUGUUGAAAACUCUACCCUCAGAAGAGAAAGGAAUCAAAGCUGCAAGGUUCGACUGAGCAAAUGAAACAUCUGCCUGAAUUUCAUUUACAGAGGAAGUUUAGAGAACAAAGAGUCUACCAGUCAAAUCCCAUAUUUAAUAAGGAAGUGGUUUAGGUAAUUUAUUUUUGAUUCACAAUCUACAGUCAAAAAUAUUGGUAAAUAUUUCACCCAACUGAAAUAAAAAUAUUCUCUUUACAAAAAAGUCUUGUCAGAGUUUAAUCCGAGCCAACAACUAAGCACCAUACAGCAACUCUCUUACUACUCCCCAGUCAGAUGGGGGAGAUAAUAACAAGGAUAGAAGUAAGAAAACUUGUGGGUUGAGGUAAAAAUAGUUGAAUAGGUAGAGUUAAAGUCAUGCAUGAAAUGGAAGCAAACCAGGGAAUUAAUUCAUUGCUUUCCUAUCAGCAGGAAGAUGUUCAGCCACCUCCAGGAAAGCAGGGCACUACCACAUGUAAUGGUUACUUGGGAAGACAAACAACAUACUCCAGACAUCUUCCCCCUUUUUUCUUCUUCCCCUGGUUUAUAUGCUGAGCCAGACGUCAUAUGGUGUAGAAUAUAGAAUCAUAGAACCAUCAGGUUGGAAAAAACCUCCAUCAUUGAGUCCAACCAUUCCUAUCUGCCACUAAAACAUA